rnacentral:rRNA from 1 species
AUCGCAUGAUCAGCUUUUGAAAGGCGGCGUAAGCUGUCGCUAAGGGAUGGCCCCGCGGUGCAUUAGCUAGUUGGUAAGGUAACGGCUUACCAAGGCGACGAUGCAUAGCCGAGUUGAGAGACUGAUCGGCCACAUUGGGAACUGAGACACGGGCCCAAACUCCUACGGGAGGCAGCAGUAGGGAAUCUUCCACAAUGGACGCAAGUCUGAUGGAGCAACGCCGCGUGAGUGAAGAAGGUUUUCGGAUCGUAAAGCUCUGUUGUUGGUGAAGAAGGAUAGAGGUAGUAACUGGCCUUUAUUUGACGGUAAUCAACCAGAAAGUCACGGCUAACUACGUGCCAGCAGCCGCGGUAAUACGUAGGUGGCAAGCGUUGUCCGGAUUUAUUGGGCGUAAAGCGAGCGCAGGCGGAAAAAUAAGUCUAAUGUGAAAGCCCUCGGCUUAACCGAGGAACUGCAUCGGAAACUGUUUUUCUUGAGUGCAGAAGAGGAGAGUGGACUCCAUGUGUAGCGGUGGAAUGCGUAGAUAUAUGGAAGAACACCAGUGGCGAAGGCGGCUCUCUGGUCUGCA